CUCUCUUUUUCUCUUUCCUCACAGCUUCAGCAACAUUCUGGAGAGUGCUGAGUAACCGGAGGUUCUGUUUUGUUCCGGGUAGCCCACUAGAGACCAUUGACAUGACUGAAGAUGCGUGGAAAUGUGGGGGCUCUGAGCUGAAAAGCAGCUCCCUAGUUCUGGGAGGGAAGAUCACCCUCAUGCUGAGGGCACAUUGGAAUUUCUCAGUGGGCGUUUCUCAGCUCUGUGAUCCUGCCUCUCUCUUCCCUUGGGAAAUGGGUCUCUCUUGGGGCUUUCCUUGGCUCUGGAUCACCCCACCUUGUCCCCUAUCACUUUCUUAGGGAGGAUCCUUGACAUGAAUGCACCCCGCAAAAGGAAAUAAAAGGCAUUUCCAGAGCCCCGGCUGUUGCCAGAAGGUGGUGCCCUGGGACGGCAGUACAGCCCCACACUGAAGGGCAAGACUCAGGGCCUUCAAAAAUGAUCCACCCCACCCUCUGCCCUCUCCUUCUGCUGUGAAAGGUGCUCAGAAAUGGCAAGGUCUGUGGGAAGAGGAGAGGGAACAGUGGCUGGCUUCAAACCAGCCUAGACAUGCCCUUUCCUAGCCUGCCCAGUGCCACAGUUAGAGCUUAGACCCUUCCAGAAAGACUGACCACCACGUGCACCAGGGUCUUCUCUAUAACCUGAACCCAGCCCCAAGACUCAGACUGAACCCGUAAGUAGCUACCAGGAAAGGUAAGUGUAUGCUUUCCCACACUCAGCCUAUUGGCGAAGGGUCUUGUUUCUCCACCCUGCCCCUUCCCAAUAGGCUGCCUUGCCACCCACCCACUUUGCCCUACAGUGACCUGGGUUCCUUAAGCAAGAAAAAGCAGAUCCCUCCACUUCUAAUUUCCUCCCACACAAGCCCUGGUCCAGUAGUUCCCAGUGAAAAGUCUGAGACUGUUCUGGGGACCCAGAAGAAUUCAGAAGCCUCAGAGGGUACAGCUACAAAACUCCAAGGAUCUGACGGUUUGGGAGUGGAAACUGGGGUCCCGUUCUGUUUUUCCUGCUGGUUAAAAUCUGCUUUCCUAGCUCUAAGGUCCAUUUUAGCCCGCCCCCCCCUUCUCUACUCUCCUGUCUGUGGUCAGAGGGUGUUCCCAGGACAGCCCACUCUACCUGGUUUGGACACAUAAUAGGGAUCUUGUUUUCAAAAUUGUGUUGUCUUGUCUUGUGGCCAACAGGUUCCAGCUAAACAAAGAAGCAAGAAGAUGGGAAGGUGGGCCAGAGGGCAGUGGCUGAGCGUGCAUGAGUCUUUCUGCUAAAGUGGAAACAGUCGGGGGCAAAGAAAGAGCUAUCCGGUAGGCCCUCCUAGUCACCGGACAGAAAGAGAGAAACGGUUACAGAUGGCAGAAAAACGCAGGAUGCCAGUGCAUGCAGGCUGCAGCGGAGGUGGCCUCAGAACAAAGCCAGAGCUGUGUCCCAGCCGCCGAGGCUACAAAUGAUGGCUAUGACAGAGCCACUCAGACGCCCGUGUGGUCUAGGGCCCGUACCUCUGCAUGGAGGAUGUCCAAGGCCUUCCUGAUGUUGUUCGUGAAGUUUUGGGGAGAAAAGUGAUCCUGCAGGCAGAGGAAGAAUCUCCUGAGGCCCAUGAAUCAACCCGUCUCCUCCCAAAAUGAUAUCAUCAGGCUCCCUCACUAAGCAACGUCAUCAGGACCAGCCUUCAAGGGGAACGUCCUCUGGAUCUUAGGGUUAAUUCAUCCUCAGUUGGAUCCAUGCCAAGCCAUGAACAGAGUCCUGACCUAGCUACGCUGUUCCAGGAGCCAGUGGCCAACUAUGGAAAUCCUUCCCGAGGGUGAGGGGCUGGGGACUUACCAGGUCAUUGCAAGAAUCACAGAGGUCAUUUCCUCCUAUAAACACAGUGAUGACCUUCCA